CGGUAACAAACAAAAAGAAAAAAGUGGAACCCGGUGCGCACAACCCAUCGACCCAGAACCCACAUCCCUUCCGAUCCCAACUCCUUCAGCGCCGCCUCCUCCCUCCCCACCGGCGCGCCGCCUCCUCCCUCCCCUGCCCAGUCGCCACCGCCCACGGCCGGCCCCAACCAAGCGCUGUUGCCCGCCGCGCCCGCCGCGCCCGCCGCCCCCAACCACCGGCCGCCAUGCGCCUGUCUCCUUCGGCCGCCGUGCGCCUCCCAACCCCGGCCGUCGCGCGCCUCCUACCCCGACCGCCGCGCGCCUCCGACCCCUGGCCGCGGCGCGCCUCCGACCCCUGGCCGCGGCGCGCCUCCCCCCACCCGGCUCCCUGUGCAACUAUGCAGUCCGUCCUGGCUGAUCUACUCUGGCCGUUCAACUUUGGGUCUUCCGGCCGCUCGGCCAGCGGAGCUCGACGAAGAGCACCCCGGUCUCGCUUGUGUGUGGAGUUCCGAGCAUCUUCUACUGCUGUGUGCUGCUCUCUUCUAUUUUCAACUGAAUGUGCUGCCAUGUGUGGAUUUACUCUCGACUCUAGCCGUUGAUCCAUAGUUCAUUUUCAGUACAGACUCUGAAGCUGCCCAGUACAUGUUGGGGGACAUUUAUGGAAUCACAUAUCCUUCUUGCAGCUGUAAUUUUGAUUGCAUAGCAGUAUAGUUUAGUUGUCUCUGAAGUUUUGAUUCACAGCAGUACAAUUUAGUCCCAGCUGCCAUGAUUCUGCAAACCAUUGGGCUCCCAAAAAGAUGGUGCUUUAUUGCAACAAAUUGUGGGGAAAAUGCAGUGAAAAAAUAAAUUGUGCUCCCAAAAUUUCAUAUGAUAUACUGUUAAAAAAUAAUCAUAGAAAAGUUCAAUUUGUGUUAUUGGAACAACUCAAUUUAUCGGUUUUAUAUUAUAUGAUAAGUGAUGCACAGGGAUGUUGCAACAAUUCGACUCUGAGAGCUAGUAAGUUCGACAAAAAAAACAGCAUAGUGCAUAUCAGUUCGUUUGAAGCAUACCAGUCUUUCAGUUUGUGAGUUUGUCAGUUCGCCGAUGGGAUCCGCAGGUCAUCCCCUCAUCUUCCACAAUUACUCUUCAGCCUUUUUUUUAAAGAAGAAAGGAAGAUAGAUGCCUCUUUAUUACUACCGAGAAGAAUUGUUUUAAGAUAUCGGUCUUACUUCUGUCAAGAUCCAAGGUAUUUUCAAUAUUUUUGGCAAAAGACUAGAUCGAGUGAGAUAUCCUUCUCUGCCUACUCUGUCCAUAACACUCGCCAAAACUGAGCAAGGUGAAUGAAGCCUCGGGACCAGCAGCCACCUGCGCUACAGAAUACAAGUGUUUGCAGUUUGCUCACCAGAAUGUUGAAUGAGACUACAUCAUUAUUACUCAAAAAAUUCAGUUUGUAUUUGUUCAGAAUUGUUCUCUCUAUCCAUGGCAAAGAAUGAUUUUUUCUGGUUUAAUGCAAUCCUCCUGUGGAAGCACUAAAACACGCUACCUGUUGAACUGAUACUGAUAUUGAAGACAAGGAGCAGGACCAAGUGUGCUGGAAGUUUUUUUGUACCCAUGUGCGGAAGCACUUUAUUUUUCUGAUAAUUAUUAUUGUGUUCAUGUGGGUGCUUGAAAAGUUCCGUACAAGAAUAGGCUGUACAAGAAUAGGCCGAUGAUUUUUGUGCUGAGGUCGAUGCUAUGGAUAAUAUGAUUCAUGUACAUGUAUUAUAUGUGUGGAAACAAUUUCUG
rnacentral:rRNA from 1 species